rnacentral:rRNA from 1 species
UACGUAGGCAGCAAGCGUUGUUCGGAGUUACUGGGCGUAAAGGGUGUGUAGGCGGCUCUUUAAGUUUGGUGUGAAAUCUCCCGGCUCAACUGGGAGGGUGCGCCGAAUACUGAGGGACUAGAGUACGGGAGAGGAAAGUGGAAUUCCUGGUGUAGCGGUGAAAUGCGUAGAUAUUAGGAAGAACACCAGUGGCGAAGGCGGCUCACUGGCCCGGUACUGACGCUGAGGCGCGAAAGCGUGGGGAGCAAACAGG